rnacentral:rRNA from 1 species
GGAAUCUUCCACAACGGACGAAAGUCUGAUGGAGCAACGCCGCGUGAGUGAAGAAGGGUUUCGGCUCGUAAAACUCUGUUGUUAAAGAAGAACAUAUCUGAGAGUAACUGUUCAGGUAUUGACGGUAUUUAACCAGAAAGCCACGGCUAACUACGUGUCAG